rnacentral:rRNA from 1 species
UACGGGGGGAGCAAGCGUUGUUCGGAUUUACUGGGCGUAAAGGGCGCGUAGGCGGUCUUGUAAGUCCUGUGUGAAAUCCCUCGGCUCAACUGAGGAACUGCACGGGAAACUGCUUGGCUUGAGUUCGGGAGAGGGAAGCGGAAUUCCGGGUGUAGCGGUGAAAUGCGUAGAUAUCCGGAGGAACACCCGUGGCGAAGGCGGCUCUCUGGUACGUGACUGACGCUGAGACGCGAAAGCGUGGGGAGCAAACAGG